rnacentral:rRNA from 1 species
UACGUAGGGGGCAAGCGUUGUCCGGAUUUAUUGGGCGUAAAGAGCGUGUAGGCGGCUUGGUAGGUCCGCUGUGAAAACUCGAGGCUCAACCUCGAGAUGUCGGCGGAAACCACUUGGCUAGAGUCCGGAAGAGGAGAGUGGAAUUCCCGGUGUAGCGGUGAAAUGCGUAGAUAUCUGGAGGAACACCGGUGGCGAAGGCGACAUCCUGGACCGGUAUUGACGCUGAGGCGCGAAAGCGUGGGGAGCAAACAGG